CCAGACACCACUAAUGGUACGUAUAUAAUCUGGACUUCUUAUUUGUAUACGAGGCACAUUUUUAUCGGAGGUACCGAAAUUUUUGAAUUUUGAGUUUGGUGUUACGCAUUCAUCGAAAGGUCGCUGUACACAACAGAAUUGUCGAUUGGUGUUGUAAUCAUCAGCGGUGAGGGCGAAUCUUUAAUUUUAUGAUGUAUUUAGUUGUUCCAAAAGGCGAAAUAAAAGUAUCGAAAUUGAAGGUUCGCCUUCCCGUGGAGUGAUGAUUAAAAUGCCAAUCGACAAUUUCGUUGUAUUAUUUAUUAUUAAAGAUUCAUUCCAAAAUUGCGCUUUCAACUCAACACCGCCUUCGAGACAGAUCUCUAAAAUGGCGGCGCGCACCGAUUUAGAUACUAGGUGUGAAGAAAUCACUAUAAUUUCGUUAUUCAUUUUCUCGAGGCCUGCCCCGGAUAGAAGCGCAGUCGUUAUGGAAAGUUAUCUCUAUCGGUGGUCAUCUUUCCAUCGGGAUUAUUUUUGUUCAUAUAGGGCUUAGUAAGAAUAUGUGAAUAUUUUUUCAUUCUCUAAUACAUCUGGAAAACUUUAGAGGUGCGGUUUACUACCGAGUGUUCCGGAUAUACGUUAGACAAUUAAAGAUUGGUUGCCACCGACUGACAAUAAAAAAUACGAAUCGACAGUCGUGUUGUUUUAAAGAUUCAUUCGAAGUUAACUUUUCAAUGCUAGUUUUAUACGCGGGCGAGUCUCUUAAUUUCACGGUGCAUCUGGUGGUGGCCAGCCAGACGUACGCUUCUUUUAGAAAGUUUAUUCGGUUUACGGCCAUCUUUCCAUCGGCGCUACUUUUGUCGUCCCGGGUAUUCUGGUCUUAGCCGCAUCCACAGCCACUAAAUGGUGGUAGUGGUGUAAGGGAAGAACGGUAUUUCCCGCACCCCAGACGUCCAGCAUGGCACGGACUUAGUAAAAUGGGAAGAAAUUGCUUUCUGGGUGCCGGCUGAAAAUUCGAGUGUGCAUCACCAGAUAUUCGAGAAUUUCAAAUAGUACUCUGGUUUACGAGAAUUUUUACUCGCCGCAUAAUUGUCAUCAAAGAUAUAUUUUAAUGGCCAGUAAGAUAAGAUUAAUUUUAAUGCCGCCUUAAUUAAUUACUGUUAGUUGGUCUGGAAGUGAAACGAUGUUCUUUUCAUUCGAAUUCAAAUAUUCUCCGAUUUCCAUCACCGUUCUUUUCUUCUACCACCAGGCAAUCUAUAAUCGCCUUUUAAUAAAUCUGUUUAAUUGAAAAUAUUUCGUUCCAUUUAUAUACGAUAUUUUAUAUCGAGUAAAGGCAGCUAAAAUGCGCCAUAAAUAUAUGUCAUAUACGCUCUCCAAUCGAUAAAAGCGCCUGACGAUUUAAAAUAAAGUUUAUAGCGGGUGUCCGAGCCGACUGGGAAAGUCUAUAGCAAAAUGGGAUACGUAUCGGGUUUGUUACUGGUGCUGCUAAACAAAACGACUAUUUGGGAGCCCUGGCCAAUCGGAUUAGUCGAACUGAAGAUUGUAGAUUUCCUCUCGGCUGACCCUUCUCGCUAAGUUUAUAAUGGUUGAAACGGAUCCGUCCGAUACAUAUAAAUAGAUUUUAAUAGUUAUUCGACGUAACUCUCGCAUUGGUUGGCUUACACGCCGCGGAGUAAAGAAGCGAAGCCGAGAUAUUACUUACAAGGAGAGGUCCUCAAGUGGAAUCCACCGAUUUUGAUGGGGCUUAAUAGGAUUGUA
rnacentral:lncRNA from 1 species